rnacentral:rRNA from 1 species
AUUGAACGCUGGCGGCAGGCCUAACACAUGCAAGUCGAGCGGAUGAAGGGAGCUUGCUCCUGGAUUCAGCGGCGGACGGGUGAGUAAUGCCUAGGAAUCUGCCUGGUAGUGGGGGAUAACGUCCGGAAACGGGCGCUAAUACCGCAUACGUCCUGAGGGAGAAAGUGGGGGAUCUUCGGACCUCACGCUAUCAGAUGAGCCUAGGUCGGAUUAGCUAGUUGGUGGGGUAAAGGCCUACCAAGGCGACGAUCCGUAACUGGUCUGAGAGGAUGAUCAGUCACACUGGAACUGAGACACGGUCCAGACUCCUACGGGAGGCAGCAGUGGGGAGUAUUGGACAAUGGGCGAAAGCCUGAUCCAGCCAUGCCGUGUGUGUGAAGAAGGUCUUCGGAUUGUAAAGCACUUUAAGUUGGGAGGAAGGGCAGUAAGUUAAUACCUUGCUGUUUUGACGUUACCAACAGAAUAAGCACCGGCUAACUUCGUG